AGUAUGUGUGUUAGUGGAAGCGUCUGGAAAGGCGCGCGAUACAGGGUGACAGCCCCGUACACAAAAAUGCACAUGCUGUGAGCUCGAUGAGUAGGGCGGGACACGUGGUAUCCUGUCUGAAUAUGGGGGGACCAUCCUCCAAGGCUAAAUACUCCUGACUGACCGAUAGUGAACCAGUACCGUGAGGGAAAGGCGAAAAGAACCCCGGCGAGGGGAGUGAAAAAGAACCUGAAACCGUGUACGUACAAGCAGUGGGAGCACGCUUAGGCGUGUGACUGCGUACCUUUUGUAUAAUGGGUCAGCGACUUAUAUUCUGUAGCAAGGUUAACCGAAUAGGGGAGCCGAAGGGAAACCGAGUCUUAACUGGGCGUUAAGUUGCAGGGUAUAGACCCGAAACCCGGUGAUCUAGCCAUGGGCAGGUUGAAGGUUGGGUAACACUAACUGGAGGACCGAACCGACUAAUGUUGAAAAAUUAGCGGAUGACUUGUGGCUGGGGGUGAAAGGCCAAUCAAACCGGGAGAUAGCUGGUUCUCCCCGAAAGCUAUUUAGGUAGCGCCUCGUGAAUUCAUCUCCGGGGGUAGAGCACUGUUUCGGCAAGGGGGUCAUCCCGACUUACCAACCCGAUGCAAACUGCGAAUACCGGAGAAUGUUAUCACGGGAGACACACGGCGGGUGCUAACGUCCGUCGUGAAGAGGGAAACAACCCAGACCGCCAGCUAAGGUCCCAAAGUCAUGGUUAAGUGGGAAACGAUGUGGGAAGGCCCAGACAGCCAGGAUGUUGGCUUAGAAGCAGCCAUCAUUUAAAGAAAGCGUAAUAGCUCACUGGUCGAGUCGGCCUGCGCGGAAGAUGUAACGGGGCUAAACCAUGCAC
rnacentral:rRNA from 1 species